rnacentral:rRNA from 1 species
UGGGGAAUUUUGGACAAUGGGCGAAAGCCUGAUCCAGCAAUGCCGCGUGUGUGAAGAAGGCCUUCGGGUUGUAAAGCACUUUUGUCCGGAAAGAAAUCCUUGGCUCUAAUACAGUCGGGGGAUGACGGUACCGGAAGAAUAAGCACCGGCUAACUACGUGCCAGCAGCCGCGGUAAUACGUAGGGUGCAAGCGUUAAUCGGAAUUACUGGGCGUAAAGCGUGCGCAGGCGGUUUGCUAAGACCGAUGUGAAAUCCCCGGGCUCAACCUGGGAACUGCAUUGGUGACUGGCAGGCUAGAGUAUGGCAGAGGGGGGUAGAAUUCCACGUGUAGCAGUGAAAUGCGUAGAGAUGUGGAGGAAUACCGAUGGCGAAGGCAGCCCCCUGGGCCAAUACUGACGCUCAUGCACGAAAGCGUGGGGAGCAAACAGGAUUAGAUACCCUGGUAGUCCACGCCCUAAACGAUGUCAACUAGUUGUUGGGGAUUCAUUUCCUUAGUAACGUAGCUAACGCGUGAAGCUGACCGCCUGGGGGAGUACGGUCGCAAGAUUAAAACUCAAAUGAAUUGACGGGGUCAUAGCUGUUUCCU